ensembl:ncRNA T07H6.7 ncRNA
GUAAUGGAGAUGGCGAGUAGUAGUAGAAAUCGCAUUUAAUUCAUGUGAUUUGGUACUAUGAAAAUUUUAAAAGAGAAAUCCGCUUGAGUUCUUGCAAGACGGCAUUCUUUCACCAGCUGACACGCAAUGUAUUGAUUGAUUGGGGUCUUUUCAAGGGUUCCCAUUGUAAAGUUGCUCGAGUAUCAUGCUUGUCUGAUCAAUUA